AAGUUUAUUAAUAUAAACCAUCACGUUGGAGUAAAAGAAAAAUUUAAAUUCACACAAAAAAAAACUGGUUCAAAUCAACUCUUAAACAUGUUUUCGAGUGCGUUUUCGCCCAUUUUUAAAGAUGUUUCGUUCCGAAGGGUUCGUUCCGGCUUAUUUUAACCCAACCAACCCCGAUAAUCAUCCCCCAAGUAUAUCCGUUGAAUUUGGUGGCGAACAACAAUCAAAAUCACAAAACUCUAACAAACACGUGAUUACAGAGACGCAACUUUCGUUUAAAAGAACUGUUUCGUUCAUCGACGACGAUGUUUUCGAUUUUUCCCAACCAGAUCAAGAUGUGGAUCGAACAAGAUUGAAGAACAAAUCGAAAUGUAAAGUUUAUUGUGGGUAUAUCAAGGUGAUCGUUUUGGUUUUAAUUUUUAUCCCGUGUUGUGCGAUUUUGAUGAAUAAAAGUGUUAAUGUUACCGAUGUCCAUCAUUUGAGUGUGAAUCAAAAUGAUGUUAAAGAGUACUUAAUCUACGAUUUACCCAAACAAGAUUGUUUUUCUUUAAAAUUACAAGGUGCGAUUUUACCUGGGUAUUAUUCAAACUUAUCGAGGGAUUUUAUGGAAGUUUGGGUCGAUGUUUUAUCUUUUCCUGAAACAAUUUCAAUUAAUAAAACCAAUUUCAAAAAUCACCUAUUAAAAUCGAAGAAAAUUUCUAACAUUUGGAAAGUUCCUUUAUCACCAAACGAUUGGAUUCGCUCCAAUCCGGAAAUAAAACAACAAAAAUUGUUCCAUUUGAACCAAUUUAAAUGUUCUCCUUUUCAUAAUUGCGUUUUAAGCGUCAAUUUUAAAACAAAUUUGAACCGGCAUUUUCCAAUUUCGGUUUCUUACAACUUAAAUCCGAUUAAUACUGAAAUUGGGGCGCUUUAUGCAGCUUUUGUGUUAAUUUUUCUUUAUGUUUUAAUCGUUUUUGAGAUAAUCCACAAAACUUUCGCUGCUAUGUUGGUGAGCUCAGUUUCUGUCGCCCUUUUGGCUCUAUUAGAUGCGAAACCUACAGUUGCUGAGAUAAUUUCAUGGAUUGAUUGGGAAACUGUUUUAAUGUUGUUCUCAAUGAUGAUUUUGGUCGCUGUUUUUAGCGAAACCGGGAUUUUUAAUUACAUCGCCGUUACAGCUUUUAAAGUUACCGGUGGUAAAAUGUGGCCAUUAAUUAAUGUUUUAUGUUUUACAACGGCCGUUUUAUCAUGUUUUUUGGAUAACGUCACAACUGCUUUAUUAAUGACCCCAGUUACGAUAAGGCUUUGCGAGGUUAUGAAAAUUAAUCCAGUUCCCGUUUUAACAAACAUGGUUAUUUAUUCCAACAUAGGGGGCGCUUGCACCCCAAUCGGGGAUCCCCCAAACAUAAUCAUCGCAUCAAACGAAAACGUAAUCAAAUCGGGGAUCACUUUUAGCACGUUCACUUUACACAUGUCACUCGGUGUUUUCAUCGCUUUAAUCGUCGCCAAUAUCCAGUUAAGAAUAAUUUAUAGAAAUGAAAGUGUUUUUAAGUAUUCCGAGCCUUCAGAAGUCCAUGAAAUUCGCAAAGAAAUGGAAGUUUGGAAACGAACCGCCGAAUCAAUGAGCAGCUAUAGCAAACAAGAGGUUGCAGUAAAAGACUCGAUGAUGAAGAGAACUUGCAGAUUGGGUAAAAAACUUUAUUCGAGGACUUCGUGUAAAAGCUUAUCCAGUUUAGAUGAUAAAAACAUCGAUCUUCAUCAAUUAGCAGCAAAAUACCCAAUCAAAGAUAAAUCUUUGUUAAUUAAAAGCUCCGUUUGUUUGGUGUUGGUGAUCACGGGAUUCUUUUUAAAUUCUUUGCCGGUUUUUAGCCGAUUAGGUUUAGGUGAAAUUGCCUUUUUAGGCUCAAUCCUACUCAUCAUCAUCGCCGAUCGAGACGAUUUAAGCCCGAUAAUCGCUAAAAUCGAAUGGGAAACUCUCCUUUUUUUUAUAUUUUUAUUUAUUUUGAUGGAGGCUUUAUCAAAAUUGGGGUUAAUCGAUUGGAUGGGUAGUAAAACCCAAUCGAUUAUUAUGUCGAUGGAUGAAUCUUCACGACUCCCUGCGGCUAUCUUAAUUAUUUUGUGGGUUUCCGCUUUUGCGUCAUCUUUAGUGGAUAAUAUCCCUUUAACUACGAUGAUGAUUCGGAUAGCAACUGGGUUGGCUCAUGAUAAAGAUCUCAACUUACCUUUGCAGCCUUUAAUUUGGGCUUUGGCCUUUGGGGCUUGUUUUGGGGGGAAUGGAACGAUAUUUGGGUCAACUUCUAAUAUCGUUUGUGCGGGGGUUUCGGAACAACAUGGUUAUAAAUUUUCGUUUUUGGGAUUUAUGAAGAUUGGUUUUCCAAUUAUGAUUUCAACAGUUUCCGUCGUAACGAUUUACCUUUUAAUCGCCCACGUCGUUUUCAACUGGAACUAAAACGAAGAUUUUUUGCUGUUUUUGUGUCUACGUGAUGUUAAAAUAUUGCAAGCCACCACAAAAGGUGAACUUUCGAUGAAUCAAAUUUUCGAGAUUAAAGAUAAAUGUGUGUUGGAGUUAAAUUUGGCUCCAAAUUCCCAUCAAACUUUACCAAGUUUGGAAAAAAACGUUGUAUUAAGCGACGAUGAGAAAUGCUUGCUUAAGUGCAUGUUUAUUAAAAUGAAUUUUCUCGAUUUAAGUGGAAAAUUAACGGAGAGUUAUAUCCGGGAUAAAUUUGUUGGGAUUUCCCGCGAGGAAAUUGAUGGUUGUUAUGUUAAAGAUUUAGAUCUUUUAAAAGGGAAAUGCGAGGCGUUUUAUCGAUCGGUUAAAUGUUUUAAUGAGCUUAUGAAGAAAGUGGAUCAAAUUUAAUUUGAGAUUUCAAUAAAAUCUUGAUUCAAUUUA
rnacentral:misc_RNA from 1 species